rnacentral:piRNA from 1 species
UGAAAUGUAGUGCCUUCAAACAAC